CAUGAACUUAGCUUGCUAAGUUUGAUGGCGACCGGCGCACGGGUGAGUAACACGUAUCCCCCCUGCCGAUGACUCGGGGAUAGCCUUUCGAAAGAAAGAUUAAUACCCGAUGGCAUAGUUCUUCCGCAUGGUAGAACUAUUAAAGAAUUUCGGUCAUCGAUGGGGAUGCGUUCCAUUAGGUUGUUGGCGGGGUAACGGCCCACCGAGCCUUCGAUGGAUAGGGGUUCUGAGAGGAAGGUCCCCCACAUUGGAACUGAGACACGGUCCAAACUCCUACGGGAGGCAGCAGUGAGGAAUAUUGGUCAAUGGACGAGAGUCUGAACCAGCCAAGUAGCGUGAAGGAUGACUGCCCUAUGGGUUGUAAACUUCUUUUAUACGGGAAUAAAGUGAGGCACGUGUGCCUUUUUGUAUGUACCGUAUGAAUAAGGAUCGGCUAACUCCGUGCCAGCAGCCGCGGUAAUACGGAGGAUCCGAGCGUUAUCCGGAUUUAUUGGGUUUAAAGGGAGCGUAGGCGGACGCUUAAGUCAGUUGUGAAAGUUUGCGGCUCAACCGUAAAAUUGCAGUUGAUACUGGGUGUCUUGAGUACAGUAGAGGCAGGCGGAAUUCGUGGUGUAGCGGUGAAAUGCUUAGAUAUCACGAAGAACUCCGAUUG
rnacentral:rRNA from 1 species